rnacentral:rRNA from 1 species
GACGAGCUCUCCAAACGUUAUUCGGUAUUACUGGGCUUAAAGAGUUCGUAGGCUGUCUAGUAGGUGAGGUGUGAAAGCCCUCGGCUCAACCGAGGAACUGCGCUUCAAACCGCUAGGCUUGAGGGAGGUAGGGGUAUGCGGAACAGAUGGUGGAGCGGUGAAAUGCGUUGAUAUCAUCUGGAACACCGGUGGCGAAAGCGGCAUACUGGACCUUUUCUGACGCUGAGGAACGAAAGCUAGGGUAGCGAACGGG